rnacentral:rRNA from 1 species
ACUUUUAAAUUGAAGAGUUUGAUCAUGGCUCAGAUUGAACGCUGGCGGCAGGCCUAACACAUGCAAGUCGAACGGUAACAGGAAGCAGCUUGCUGCUUUGCUGACGAGUGGCGGACGGGUGAGUAAUGUCUGGGAAACUGCCUGAUGGAGGGGGAUAACUACUGGAAACGGUAGCUAAUACCGCAUAACGUCGCAAGACCAAAGAGGGGGACCUUCGGGCCUCUUGCCAUCGGAUGUGCCCAGAUGGGAUUAGCUAGUAGGUGGGGUAACGGCUCACCUAGGCGACGAUCCCUAGCUGGUCUGAGAGGAUGACCAGCCACACUGGAACUGAGACACGGUCCAGACUCCUACGGGAGGCAGCAGUGGGGAAUAUUGCACAAUGGGCGCAAGCCUGAUGCAGCCAUGCCGCGUGUAUGAAGAAGGCCUUCGGGUUGUAAAGUACUUUCAGCGGGGAGGAAGGGAGUAAAGUUAAUACCUUUGCUCAUUGACGUUACCCGCAGAAGAAGCACCGGCUAACUCCGUGCCAGCAGCCGCGGUAAUACGGAGGGUGCAAGCGUUAAUCGGAAUUACUGGGCGUAAAGCGCACGCAGGCGGUUUGUUAAGUCAGAUGUGAAAUCCCCGGGCUCAACCUGGGAACUGCAUCUGAUACUGGCAAGCUUGAGUCUCGUAGAGGGGGGUAGAAUUCCAGGUGUAGCGGUGAAAUGCGUAGAGAUCUGGAGGAAUACCGGUGGCGAAGGCGGCCCCCUGGACGAAGACUGACGCUCAGGUGCGAAAGCGUGGGGAGCAAACAGGAUUAGAUACCCUGGUAGUCCACGCCGUAAACGAUGUCGACUUGGAGGUUGUGCCCUUGAGGCGUGGCUUCCGGAGCUAACGUGUUAAGUCGACCGCCUGGGGAGUACGGCCGCAAGGUUAAAACUCAAAUGAAUUGACGGGGGCCCGCACAAGCGGUGGAGCAUGUGGUUUAAUUCGAUGCAACGCGAAGAACCUUACCUGGUCUUGACAUCCACGGAAGUUUUCAGAGAUGAGAAUGUGCCUUCGGGAACCGUGAGACAGGUGCUGCAUGGCUGUCGUCAGCUCGUGUUGUGAAAUGUUGGGUUAAGUCCCGCAACGAGCGCAACCCUUAUCCUUUGUUGCCAGCGGUCCGGCCGGGAACUCAAAGGAGACUGCCAGUGAUAAACUGGAGGAAGGUGGGGAUGACGUCAAGUCAUCAUGGCCCUUACGACCAGGGCUACACACGUGCUACAAUGGCGCAUACAAAGAGAAGCGACCUCGCGAGAGCAAGCGGACCUCAUAAAGUGCGUCGUAGUCCGGAUUGGAGUCUGCAACUCGACUCCAUGAAGUCGGAAUCGCUAGUAAUCGUGGAUCAGAAUGCCACGGUGAAUACGUUCCCGGGCCUUGUACACACCGCCCGUCACACCAUGGGAGUGGGUUGCAAAAGAAGUAGGUAGCUUAACCUUCGGGAGGGCGCUUACCACUUUGUGAUUCAUGACUGGGGUGAAGUCGUAACAAGGUAACCGUAGGGGAACCUGCGGUUGGAUCACCUCCUUACCUUAAA